rnacentral:rRNA from 1 species
UACGAAGGGGGCAAGCGUUGUUCGGAUUUACUGGGCGUAAAGGGCACGCAGGCGGUCUUGCCAGUCAGGGGUGAAAGCCCGGGGCUCAACCCCGGAACUGCCUCUGAUACUGCAGGACUAGAGACUAGGAGAGGGUGGUGGAAUUCCCAGUGUAGAGGUGAAAUUCGUAGAUAUUGGGAGGAACACCAGAGGCGAAGGCGGCCACCUGGACUAGAUCUGACGCUGAGGUGCGAAAGCGUGGGGAGCAAACAGG